rnacentral:rRNA from 1 species
AACAGUCAGAAAUGGCUGCUAAUACCGCAUAAGCGCACAGAGCUGCAUGGCUCAGUGUGAAAAACUCCGGUGGUAUAAGAUGGACCCGCGUUGGAUUAGCUGGUUGGUGGGGUAACGGCCCACCAAGGCGACGAUCCAUAGCCGGCCUGAGAGGGUGAACGGCCACAUUGGGACUGAGACACGGCCCAGACUCCUACGGGAGGCAGCAGUGGGGAAUAUUGCACAAUGGGGGAAACCCUGAUGCAGCGACGCCGCGUGAAGGAAGAAGUAUCUCGGUAUGUAAACUUCUAUCAGCAGGGAAGAUAAUGACGGUACCUGACUAAGAAGCCCCGGCUAACUACGUGCCAGCAGCCGCGGUAAUACGUAGGGGGCAAGCGUUAUCCGGAUUUACUGGGUGUAAAGGGAGCGUAGACGGUGUGGCAAGUCUGAUGUGAAAGGCAUGGGCUCAACCCGUGGACUGCAUUGGAAACUGUCAUACUUGAGUGCCGGAGGGGUAAGCGGAAUUCCUAGUGUAGCGGUGAAAUGCGUAGAUAUUAGGAGGAACACCAGUGGCGAAGGCG